AAAAUGCCCCCGUAACUUCGGGAGAAGGGGGGCCGGAUGCGUUACAUGGCUUGCCCAUGGAAGCGUUGAUGGCCGCAGAGACCAGGCCCAAGCGACUGUUUACUAAAAACACAGGUCCGUGCGAAGAAGUAAUUCGAUGUAUACGGACUGACGCCUGCCCGGUGCUGGAACGUUAAGGGGACAGGUUAGCUGGUUUAGGCCGGCGAAGCUUUGAACUUAAGCGCCAGUAAACGGCGGUGGUAACUAUAACCAUCCUAAGGUAGCGAAAUUCCUUGUCGGGUAAGUUCCGACCUGCACGAAUGGCGUAACGACUUGGGCGCUGUCUCAACCAUGGACUCGGCGAAAUUGCAUUACGAGUAAAGAUGCUCGUUACGCGCAGCAGGACGGAAAGACCCCGGGACCUUUACUACAACUUGGUAUUGGUGGUCGGUACAACUUGUGUAGGAUAGGUGGGAGACUGUGAAAUCUGGACGCCAGUUCGGGUGGAGUCAUCGUUGAAAUACCACUCUGGUUGUUCUGGCUGUCUAACUUCGGUCCAUUAUCUGGAUCAGGGACAGUGCCUGGUGGGUAGUUUGACUGGGGCGGUCGCCUCCUAAAAGGUAACGGAGGCGCUCAAAGGUUCCCUCAGCCUGGUUGGCAAUCAGGUGUCGAGUGUAAGUGCACAAGGGAGCUUGACUGUGAGACAGACAUGUCGAGCAGGGACGAAAGUCGGAACUAGUGAUCCGGCGGUGGCAUGUGGGAGCACCGUCGCUCAACGGAUAAAAGGUACCCCGGGGAUAACAGGCUGAUCUUCCCCAAGAGUCCAUAUCGACGGGAUGGUUUGGCACCUCGAUGUCGGCUCGUCGCAUCCUGGGGCUGGAGUAGGUCCCAAGGGUUGGGCUGUUCGCCCAUUAAAGCGGCACGCGAGCUGGGUUUAGAACGUCGUGAGACAGUUCGGUCCCUAUCCGCUGCGCGCGCAGGAGACUUGAGAAGGGCUGCCCCUAGUACGAGAGGACCGGGGUGGACGAACCUCUGGUGUGCCAGUUGUUCCGCCAGGAGCACGGCUGGUUGGCUACGUUCGGGAGUGAUAACCGCUGAAAGCAUCUAAGCGAGAAGCACGCUUCAAGAUGAGGUCUCCCACCGAGUUAAUCGGGUAAGGCCCCCAGUAGACCACUGGGUUGAUAGGCCAGAGGUGGAAGCGCCGUAAGGUGUGGAGCUGACUGGUACUAAUAGGCCGAGGGCUUGUCUCU
rnacentral:rRNA from 1 species